rnacentral:rRNA from 1 species
CGUGUAGGCGGUUGUGUAAGUCAGACGUGAAAUCCUUCGGCUCAACUGAAGAACUGCGUCUGAAACUGCAUGACUAGAGUGCAGAAGAGGGAAACGGAAUUCCAGGUGUAGAGGUGAAAUUCGUAGAUAUCUGGAGGAACACCGGUGGCGAAGGCGGUUUCCUGGUCUGACACUGACGCUGAGGCGCGAAAGCGUGGGGAGCAAACAGGAUUAGAUACCCUGGUAGUCCACGCCGUAAACGGUGGGUACUGGGUGUGGGAGGUGUAAUGCCUUCUGUGCCGAAGCUAACGCGUUAAGUACCCCGCCUGGGGAGUACGGCCGCAAGGUUGAA